CAGUUUUUUCAGGUCUUUGGGGAACAUUCAACGCUGUCGGUGAGUUUGGUGACUCAGAAAAAAACCAUCGAGCGUUGAGUGUACCUUUAGG
rnacentral:pre_miRNA from 1 species